CCUGAAAUCAGGUAAAUAUCCGUGGAUAUAAUCUGUAUAAAGAAUCAAAAGGCUGACAUAGCGUAAUACAGUAUUAAAUGGAGUGUGUGAUAAAUGUGGUAAUGAGUACACUCACAAACAAACGUGAAAUCAGGCUUCUCACCCUCUCAGGGGUCAUUUGCUGUAUGAUGAAUAUGAACUUGAAAUAUCAUCCGAUGGAAUAUAUGUAAAUAAAGGAAAUCAGAUAUAGGGAAGUUUGUUAUACAAUUACAAAAUCACAUUUAUUGGUCGCACUUACACAUAGGAAUAUUAAGAAGAGCGUGUCUCCAUAUAACAUGGAACUCCUGUACAGCGUGGUAAAAAAAAUCCAGGAGAAAAUCCAGGAACAGGUUUAUGGAACCGCCAAAUACAGGUAAACAAUAAAAUACAAAAUAAAAG